UUUAAUUUAAUUUUUGGUUACCCCCACGCCGUGGGCCCAAAAAUUGGUUUUUAUUUUUACCCUCCUAAAUUUUAUUUUCUUAAAUUUUAAAAAGAAAAUGCCCCCCCUUGUUAUAUAAAUUUUUUUUAAAAAAAAAAAAUUUCUCCCCAAAAAUUUAAAAGGAAAAAAGGUUUUAAAAAAUUUUUUUUUAACAAAAAAAAAUUUUUUU
rnacentral:rRNA from 1 species